ensembl:lncRNA
GGACAAUGAACAACAUUUGGCACAGUAAGAAACUUACUCAAGGAUUCAUGUCAACAAGACUUUAAGUUUGGAAAAGAGAACCACCCCAAGACCCAGAGUGAGGAACAGCAUGAGAAGAAUCAAGAUGCCCCCCUCUGAGGAUCAGAAUCAUAACAAUUGCCAUCCUCACCAACCUCUAACGAAUUCAGAACAACCACAUGGAAUCAACUGUGCCUGUAAAUAGCACGGUGGUCCCAUUUCAGGCUGGGGUGGCGGGUGUGGAUACACAUCCUCAUCUAGGCUUCAUCUCAAUAGGAUCAUCUCCAGACUGUGUUCAGGCAGCUCUACCCCAUACCGAUGACUCUUCCUCACAGCAUUCACCUCAACACCAGCUUCUUCAAUGAUGCAGUCAUAACAUCAGGUAUGAAAAGCUCCAGUAGCCUUGGAAGAAGAGAUUAAGUGAAGGAAGAGGCUUCUUUUGAAAACAUUUCUGCUGCUAUUUUCUGCUGCUUUUAAGAUGUAUGUAUGUAUGUAUGUAUGUAUGUGUGUGUGUGUGUGUUUGUGUGUGUGUGUGUAUAUAAGCAUGUGUGUGUGUGUGUAUGUAUGUGUGUGUGUGUGUGUGUGUGUGUGUAUAAGCAUGUGUGUGUGUGUGUGUAUGUGUGUAUGUGUGUGUGUGUGUGGUAGCUAGGAAAUGUAUGUUUUUGUAUUUAAGUAAAUAUUUGCUAUUACUUAUGCAGUUAGAUGUCCUUUUUAUGUUCCAAUCAAAAUCAUAAAAACACCAAGAGUGCUUUGGUGAUUCCACUCUGGUUGCAGAUAAUAUUUUUUUCUGAUAGAUUAGUUAGCCUUCAAAAUUCUUUACAUAUGAGCAUGAACUAGCCAUAAUAUUAUCGACUUGAUCACACUGACAGCAUCAUUGUGCAUUGUCUAGAUAUGUGUGCAACAAAAGUUCACCUUCUGCUACCAUUUUUGUCAAGCUGUCUACACAUACAGUUUGACUCAUACGUUUGAUAAAUCCAACGUUUGCACCACACAGAACGCACUGCAACUGCCUCUGCAACGCAAUGCUGUAAGUCAAACGCAGCGUCCCAUUGGAAAUGAAUGUACUUCUGGUGUACUAAAACUCAAUGAAGCUGUUGGUGUGACUGAGGCAUUUUAAGUUGGAUUUAUCGAAGACAUGCGUCAAACUGUAUGCAUAGAGGGCUUGACAGAAAGGGUAGCAGAAGGUAAAUGUUGAAGUUUUGUAGCACACAUUUCAAGAUGAUGCUGCGUACCAUUUUGCGCAAUAACACUGCAGGUGUGAUCAAGGCAUUAUCCAUCGAACUAGCUUACGGCUCAGCUCGUCUCACUACUUUAGCUAAUUAACAUAGAUACAUAGCUAGCUAAUGUUAGCUACCUGGGUCAAUCUUACAAUUUUCUGUCCCCAGGAAAUAUCAGUUCUUAUUUAGUGUAAAAUGUGGAUUCCAAAAAGUCAUUAAAUAUAAGGUCAUGUGUCCUUUACCUUAAAAACACCAAAAUGUGGAUCCUGAAAGGGAAUUUUAUGCAUUUUAAACACUUUUUGUCAGUGGAUGUAGGCAUUUUUUGGAAUGUCCUCAGGUGUUCUUUAUCAACCACGACAAGAAAUAUAAGCCAUAAAAUAAUAGAAUCUUUAAAAUAUUUCUUGACUAUUUCAUAGUCCUAGUUAAAGUAUUUUGUUUUACUUUAGAAGGUGCCUAUUCUGCUUAAUGGACCCUGUAUCAUCUGAUGUGUCUCCAGUAUGAUUAUCUAUACACAUGGUUUUAUCAAGGCUUCAUGCCCAAAAUGCAGUAAGCUCCACUGAAAAAUGGAGGGUGGUACAUCUAGGCAUAGUAGUAACGAAUUCUAUGAGACUCGGCAUUACUAUAAAGUAUAAAGGUACCUGUAUCCGGCUGUUAAGGGAGCUCCAAAUUACGUAAGGCCUGGCCAUUUGUUUGUUCUUGCACAAUGUUUUACCAAACACACAUCUGCAUACACACACACACAUACACCACCCGUCUAUACAAAUAAAUAUUUGUUAGUGGUGUUAAAACCGUGUCUGGUUUAUUGUGUGAGUUUUUCUACUUUGUUUUAGUAGGUUCUUCACAGGUUAAAAAGGAUGUACCUUGAAGUAUCUAUUGUCUGAAUUUUGGAUGAACACAUGUAAGUUCUCCUGAUGAGAAACGUACUGAAAAACCCAAUGUAUACCUGG